GAUGAACGCUGACAGAAUGCUUAACACAUGCAAGUCUUUGGCGAAGCUGUGCUCGCACAGCCUAGCCAAGGCGGACGGGUGAGUAACGCGUAAGGAACUUGCCCUGCAGUCAGGGAUAACAGACGGAAACGACUGAUAAGACCUGGUAAAGUCAGGCGGACUCAUGUCCAGCCUGAUGAAAAGAGAUGCUGCAGGAGGGCCUUGCGUCCUAUUAGCUUGUUGGUGGGGUAACGGCCCACCAAGGCGAUGAUAGGUAGCCGGCCUGAGAGGGUGGACGGCCACAAGGGGACUGAGAUACGGCCCUUACUCCUACGGGAGGCGGCAGUGGGGAAUAUUGGACAAUGGGGGCAACCCUGAUCCAGCAAUUCUGUGUGCACGAUGAAGGUUUUCGGAUUGUAAAGUGCUUUCAGCAGGGAAGAAAAAAAUGACGGUACCUGCAGAAGAAGCGACGGCUAAAUACGUG
rnacentral:rRNA from 1 species